rnacentral:rRNA from 1 species
AUUGAACGCUGGCGGCAGGCCUAACACAUGCAAGUCGAGCGGCAGCACGGGUACUUGUACCUGGUGGCGAGCGGCGGACGGGUGAGUAAUGCCUAGGAAUCUGCCUGGUAGUGGGGGAUAACGCUCGGAAACGGACGCUAAUACCGCAUACGUCCUACGGGAGGAAGCAGGGGACCUUCGGGCCUUGCGCUAUCAGAUGA